ensembl:lncRNA
AAAGGUGCACCUGUCUCAAAAAGAAUGGUGGAUGUGGCUUCCGUGUAAGGAAAUUGACAGGAGACCCACAAAGUAUUUAAGAAAUUUAUUUCAGCAAAAGCACUGCCACCUUAAACUGAAAGAAGCAGAAUGAGGACAAAUGAAGGGAGGCUAGAGCUCCAAAAUUCUACUGUCAAGAAGCAGGAUGAUGAAGUACUCAGCUGCAAGUGUGCUACCUUUCAUGAAAAAGAUGGCAUGACUCAGAGGGCCAAAUCGAGAGCUAUUGUGGAUGAUUCCCAGGCCUUGGACUCUAAUCAAGGAACUCUGGAGACCCCCUCUCCACUGCUGGCUUUGAAAGAGCACGUUGCUUUGUCAUGAGCUACCUAUCAUACACAGCAAGGAGCCGAAGGCAGCCUCCAGCUGGUAGUCAGCAAGAAAAUAAGGUCAAGUCUGACAACCUCUGAGAAACUGAAUGCUCCAAUAAGCGGUGUGAACUUGGAAGCAGAUCUGACCCCCGUCAAACCUUUGAAGUCCAUAGACAGACAGGGAUGUCCUACAGUAGCUGGAGUCCUUCAUCGUGGAGCUAAACCCACACGCUUCACACAGGAAUCGGAAAAACUGAAAGCACAUCCAAGGAAGUAGACCAUUUCCAAGCCCAGAUGCUGCUUCUCACCAAGGAGAUGAGUCAACAGAUCAGCACCAAGGUGGGUCAGCUCCAAAUGUCUUAUACAGGUACCAAAAUAGAACAGCAUAGAGACUUAUAGAGUCUUAAAUAUUUCCAAACUCUUAACAAAGUGGGAGCAAUUCUCCUAUCCAUUUCACCUUAAAAUCACAGGCCUAAUUUGCUCUUUCAAAAGUUCAUCGUGGCAGUUAAUAUCCCUGGGUUGGAGGCAGUGCUAAACCAGUGACAACAGGAUUUCAUUGAUAAAUGGCCCAGCCUUCCCAUCCUACAGGACAUGGAAUGUGGGACUAUUCUAAGGUGCCUUCUACAUGGUUCCUCAGAGCCCCCUACAGGAUUGAACCCAAUUGAACCACAGCUCUCACGGCAACGCUGGAUCCUUCACCCACUGAGCAAGGCCAGGGUUCGAAUCUGUGUCCUCAUGGUUGCUAGCCAAAUUUGUUUCCGCUGAGCCACGAUGGGAGCUCCUGGUGUUUCAUUUGUUUGUCUUGUGGCUGCAUCCACAGCAGGCAGAAGUUCCCCGGGCCAGGCUCCAAACCUGCGAUGCAGCAGUCACCAGGGCCACAGCAGUGACAACGCCAGAUCCUUAACUCACUGAGCUCCUGGGGAACUCCUAAAGUGAUUUCAGUUUUUCUAAGAUGUACCCUUGUCCAUUUUAAUGACUUGGAAUCAGGGCAUGUUUUGCACUCAGUGGCACCUGAGCAUUAAGCCUGGAACCUUCUCCCAUUAUCCUGCCUGGGAAGACGACCACAGGCCCACCUUCUCACAGCAACUUUUCCUUGGAAAUAUAGGGAGUUAAGAUAAAGUGUGGCUUGCUGGCUACCUGGGGUGGGUUAUCUGUCUUCAUGAUUGUAAAACUCUUGAUUCCUGGGACUGUCCUUGGACUGGGAGAGCUUAGAGUGGUCCUGUGGCCUUGGACCUGCAGGAGUAGAACAACAUAGAGGCCAUUAGGAAGCCAAGGCGGCGGCUUCUCUGGGUUCGAGUGAACCAGGCAGUUCAUCCCCAGUAGUGGGGCGCAUCCCCCAUGUGAUAGAGGGAGGCCGGGACUCUGCAUCGGGGGUGGUUGCUGGCCUUCCCAUGAGAUGGCAAAUGCUCUGCAUACUGUCUUUCCCCUGCAUGUUUCCUACUGCAAAGCUUAGGAAGGGCAGCACCAGGUUCAAGCCAAGAAUGCUGUGAAUUGAUUUCCAGACUGGAUCUCUGACCCCUCCUCCUGGUGGGGCAGCACCUUGUACAUUGCUGUUGGCCAGGCAGUGGGUGCUGUGUAUUGUCAUUGCCUAUGAAUGCAUGUACUAAGUAUGAGCUUCUGAUGUUUUCGCUUUUUCAGUCGAGAUAGGUGCAUGGUUAAUAGUACGUGACUUGAGUCUAAUUGCUGAUUUAAGAUGACUUGAGAAGGGUUACACUGUGAUUUGGCAUUGGAACAAAAAAAAAAGUUAUUGUUUACACAGUUCCACAGAGAGUCAAGGAAAUAGAGCAUGGGGUAUAAAUUUUAUAUUGAUAAAGCAAAUAUUUGUCAUUGGAGGAGUGUCGCAAUUUCAGUUUUGUUUCCUUUGUUUUUUUGGCAAAGUAGCAGCUAAGCACUUUUAAUAAAGAAAAGAUACCCAAGUGUACCUAAAGCUAGAUUUAUUAUUGAGGUAUGUGCAAAAGGAUUACCCAUCAUGUCAAGUAAUUAAAUUCUAGGCAGGAGAAAUUGCCCAAUCCCUCAGUAUAGAUGAAGAAAGUCAAGGCUGUGAGAGGCUGGUGGGACUAGUUCUUGUACUUUAUAAGAAUGUCACUGUGCCAUUAUGUCAUAAUUUAAUGGGCAGCAAUUUUUUGUUUGUUUGUUUGUUUUGUGUUUUUAGCGCCACAACCAAAGCAUAUGGAGGUUCCCAGACUAGGGGUCUAAUCAGAACUGUACCCACCAGCCUACACCACAGCCACAGCCAUGCCAGAUCCAAGCUUUGUCUUCAGUCUACACCAGAGCUCACGGCAACGCCGGACCAGUAACCGACUGAGUGAGGCCAGGGAUCGAACCUGCAACCUCAUGGUUCCUACCUGGAUUCAUUUCCACUGUGCCAUGAUGGGAACCCCAAUUUUUUUUCUUAAUGGUACAAACAGUGAUGGUGUUUUGUACAAUCAGUGGCAUCUUAGAUUUGAUGAAGUAUGGCGAAAGUGCUAAAGAAGGGACAGAACCUAGGUCUCCUGCCUCUCAAGUAAUUUAAUCUCCCCUGCAUACACCAAGGUACACAUUCCCUGACCAAGGUGUUAUCUGACCUAAGCUUCCAGAUUGGUGGUAGGGUCACUUUCAUGACCCAGAGAGUGAGGAGUCUAGGCUGCAACAUUUCAGGAGGUCCCCGAGUGCUGGACCAGCCUCUGAAAGCAAGCACCUCCUUAAAUGUUAUGGUCUAGUUCCCUUGCCUGCUUCACCCUAGUUCUAGCCCUUGUUUUGAUCUUUGAAAGACAUUUCAGAGUUUUCCCUCCAUAUUAAGAAAAUUAAACAGAUAAAUGGAUCAAAAAGCAGCCAUGUAAAAUGCAUGGCCAGUCAAUAUCCUGCAUUGCAGAUAGGACUGCUCCUGAGUGAGAUCUCUGGAGAGAGAGCAUUACCAAGAAUGGUUAGGAAGGUUGCUAAGAAAGUGAUCUGAUAUGGAGUUCCCAUUGUGGCUCAGUAGUUAAUGAAUCCGACUUGGAACCAUGAGGUUGCAGGUUC